UUAUGAAGCUCGGGAUGGUUUGACCAAUACUCAUCAAGGAUCAAAAGGAGUUCCUGAGCUCGGCCGAGGGCAAAUGCUGGAAUUAGAACACGACCACCUAGAGAGAUGGUUGAGUGGAUAACAUCAGUGAAGCGCUUCUCCCGAAGGUGUCGAGGUUGAUGGAGUUGGACACCAUAGGUAGAUUCAAUUAUGCAUAUGUCUGGAGAGAAUUGUGGCAUCUCAGCAGCACGAAGAUGCCGAUCUUCUUCACGCGAAUAGUCUCCAGUAUACAGCACUCGAACACCGGCAAUAUCUACCAUGAACAUGGCAGCCCCAAGGACAUGGCCAGCAGUGUAGCACCAAAAUUUAAUGCCAUUAACAUCCACAGUCUGAUGGAAGUCAACAACCUGCAAUUACAAAAAUAAUUAAUGAAAUGAAGGAUUCUUAAGUUAAAUAGAGGAUGACAAAGGAAGAUUACAAGCGAGGCCAUCAUAAGGAAAAUAAGACCUGGCAAACACCAGCAGAUCUGCUCACAAAAAAAGAUGAAAAUGCAAACACAUGCACCCAACCUUGACAAAAGUGUCAGGGAUUAGGAUUAACAGUCCAGGUAUGAAAAGAAAAAUAUAUAAAAGUGAUAUCCUCUCUUUCCCUCUGCAAUCUCUCAAUGGUUUUGACCACUUGCACUCAUGGAUCGUGAUUGUGCUAUAGGAUGGAAAUAAAAUCAAAAGAAAAAAGAAAUCCUCGCUUUGAAUUGGCUCCAUAGGAUUGUAUUUUCAGAAUGCUACCAAAACUUAAAUACCUACUUUUUUUUAUUAUUUCAUAAUUGUGAAAACAUCUUUUAAUCAGCCCAAACAUUACCACAUAUGGAUCGGUCAUGGACAGAUUUAUCAACUUAAAAUGGCAAGCAUAGCAUAGUGCUUACCAAAAGAGAUGCAAUAUUGAGAAAAAGAUAAGCAACUACCAUUUUGGAACAAGCACCCUUUCUUCAAACAACCAAGGGAAUAAAUAAAUAAAUUUUCAUCCAGUUGUUACCAAACCUUUCUGCUUAACUGUAAUAGGGCAGGGGACCUGUAUGCCUACCAGAAGGUUCCCACUUGGCUGACAAAAUUUUCCUUUAUCUUUAUCUUUAUCUUUUUUGUUGUUGUUGAAUUACUGUUAUCUUAUUACUAAUCACUAAAAUCUUACAUGUGCAGGAAGAUAGAGAGUGAGAUGGCACUCGCUAUAAUAGGACCCAAACUCUCAUAGUUCAAAAAAGAUACAUGGCUGUCAACCACAACUACUUGAAUAUGCUCUUUGAUUAAUCAGGCAAUAGAGUAUUCCAAAUGCAACUUAAGUGUGGAAUCAACUUAGAUUGAUCAGUACUGGAAAAAGAAAGGCAUAACUUAAUUAUCAGAUGCAUAUAAAUUGGUCCUAAGUUUCCAUGCGAAACAUGCCAGCCUCAAAUGAGAAGCCAACAACUAACAAUGCCAAAUCAAACAGACUGAAAGCUAAGAAAUCCAUAGAGAGCAAAAUUCACAUCAAAUGCAAGAUUGAAACACUUUAAAUUCCAGAAGACAAUAGCAGACCUUUCAUCUAGAGCAAUUAACUCAACAUGGAUAGGAGGUGAUAAAGAAGAAUAACCAAUAAGCUGAAUUCCUGACUUUGGGACCACAACAUAAUGCCAAGAUAUAAUAAACAAAAAUAUUUCCAAACUAUUGCUUAGAAGGAAGGUAAACGAAGUGGAUCAAGUUUCUGGAAGAACAAAAAGGAUGCGGAUAGAUGUAAACAAGAGAACGCAAAAAUUCAUAAAUACAAACCUCGAUUUUAUCCAUUGAGCGGUUUAUGUCUUUCUCAUCAAACAACAUAUCUUCCACUGAAACUUUGCUCACUUUUAUAUAAUCAGUCAAAAGCAACUUGUAGAUAGCCUUUGUUGCAUGAGUCAUGAAAACUCGACCUCUGAAUGUGGUCUGAUAAAGAGUGAACAUGUAAGAUUGAUCCUAGUGAAAGAUACACACAAUAACUUUGUAGAAAUCAGUAAAAAAAAAAACAAACCUUCUCAAGAAAAUAAGGUAGGGAUGCAGCAUGAUCCAAGUGAAAGCUGCAGGCAUAAAGCAUCACUCCCAAUGAUUGAUGAGAAAAAACUAGAGAGGCCUAAAAAUUUUGAUUGAAAAAGUAACGAUAGAUAACAAAAACUAAAUUGAACAAAUAUAGAAAACACAGUAUUGAUUUUACAAAUGGAGCAUAUUUAUUUCCCAACCAAUGUGAUACAAUGAUUUUUCAAUAUUUUCAUUUUUUGAAUCAUUGCAUAAUAUGCAAUCACAUUAAUAUUCAACAUAAUUAAUUAGUAGAAAUAAUUUAUAUUCUUUUAUUGUUUUGUUUUCUUGUUGAACACUUUAUGAUAUUUAAUCACAUUAAAAAUAAUAAUUUAUUAUAACAUAGCAUAGAUAAUCAAGAUUUUCCUAAAUGAUUUCUUCAGCCAAAAAAUGGAUUGCUUUCAAUCCCCAAUUGCAUGCAUUUUCAGCACUGUUCUAUUGCGGUUCCCAUUAUAAGCAAUAAACCUCACGAGCACAAACCUAUUUCUUAGAAGAUCACUCAUCUUCUUGCAACAAGGAGCAUGUGAAUAAUUAAAAUAUAGAUAUCAAGAGUCUAUGACACUUCAAAUUCCAACAAAACUUUAUCAUACAUCUCAUUACAUCUAUACUUCUCUACAACUGCAUAGAUUCACUUAAGAGUUUAAAGUUCCCAGCACACAUCAAGAAUACUACUGAUAAUUUUUUAUAGAGUUAAGAAAGUUCAGGCUGCCCUCUCUUGUUGACAAAGCAUCAAGUUUAAGUUUCACCGUUUCAAUUUAUAUUAUUGUCAAGUCCAGCAUUAUAACAGACUUGGCUAACUUCUACUGAUGAGGAACCUAGCCACUUCCUAUCAAAUGGCCCUAAUAAUGCAAGUUCAAGGACCUAAGGAACUGCAUCAUGCGGUUGUUCUCACAAUAUUUAAACUCCUUACCAACUUGUGUUGUCACAAUAAAAUCGUCCCAAAUAUUAGACCAAAAUACCUUAACACUAUCUUUCUCAAUACUUGUCAUAUCUGUCUUCUGAGCUGAGUGUUCUCUAAUUCUGAAACAAUUUCAUGUUCUUCCUUGGACAAGUUGAUCUCUCGCAGCUAAAAAUUUCAUGCAAUCUUACUACAUCAUCAUAGGAGAUAUCUCUUCAAAGUAUUCUUUUGACAAGAAAAUUAACAAACAAGAAAGCAAGCAAGGUCAAAUCAAGGGAGCAUUCAGUGAGAGAAAAACUAGCAUUUACGAAACUAAUAGUGGGAAACAAAAUAUUGCCUCAUGGAAUGGAAAAUCAAUAUACAUAUAUACAAUAGCCAAGCAAGGAGAAUUAGCAAGAGAAGGUGAAGAAAUACAUACUGUGUAACGAGAAGUACAUCAAUAGUCGAAGGGUCAAUCUCAUCGAAGUAAGGCAAAGCAGCCAUACCCGAAUAAGCCAGAUGAAUUCCACAAUCAAACUAACAAUGGCAUAAUUCGACAACAAAAACAUAAAUUAAUAAACAAAAUACAUUCAUUGAAUUUGAUCCAGCAUAAUCAAGAAUUACCAAUAGUAAAUUAGUAUAAAAUGGCAUAAUUGAAAAACAACAAAAUGCAUAGAGGGAAGGAGGGAGGGAAGCAAUACCAAUACAGUCUUGCCUUUAAAUGACAUGUAAACACAGGAUCGACCCACUUCAUUUCCAGCACCUAAAGGGGUUAGAGUUAGCUUAUCCCCUCCUUCUCUUGUUACCGGUGCAUCCCUUCUUUUUAGCGACUGUGAUUGCCCUGUUGAUGCCAUUCUUGUGUUCUUCAGCUGCCCGAAAACCAAACUGUAUUUAUGUCUCUGUAGAAAAACUCCUAUACAGCUAAACCCACUCAGCUUCUGAUUUGUAAUGAUUAUAUAAAAUAAGAGAAUACAACUUACAAAAGUUGAUAUAAAGCUUAUAAUGUUUAUAGGGAUUAUGCUUCAAGCUCGAACUUUUUUAAAAUUAUGAGAUGGAUAUGGGAGUCCCGCUACAUCAGAGACAGUUUUUCAAGGGGUUUUCUUUGCUUUUACUCGAAGAUUUAAUUAGUGGAUCAAAUUAAAAUACACCAGUCAUGGUUAGCUCGGCCUCUGUUCAAGUCCUAAAUAGUCUAAGUAGUCAAAUGACAAAGGGGAAAGGGAGAGAGAUGAGAUAAGACACGGUUGAUUCAAACAGACAAGAUGGCUUCAAAAACCAACUCGGGCCUUCAAAGCAACCCAUACCCCUUCUUUCCAAGGUUCCACCAUUUAAAUAUGUGUUUGGCAACGGAUAGACCAUGUUUUUUUUUUAUAUAUAUAAAAAGUUUAAAAUAAUUUCUUUUAUUACUUAAAUGUUAAAAACAAUUCUGUACUUAACACAUUAAUGAUUCAGUUAAUCUGCCUGUAAAUGUUUUGUGCGUUAUACUAGCAUGUAAGAUUCAGAAAAAGAAGAGUAUUCUUUAAUUUCUCCCAAAUAAACCAUGAGAAAUAGCAGCAACAGCAGCAAGCAAAGAGAGAUAACAUACCUGUACACGUACCUAUAUUAGUAUGGUUAGAAGACAAGAAUAUGCCAAACUCCUACUUUUAUGACCUUCGACUCCUCUGCUUUACGUCUUUUAAACCCAUUAUAACUCCACCGUCACGCUGUUGUGCUUCUGUGGACAAGAUAUGUGGCUCGUUUGGAGCGCGUGUUGUCGGUUGCAGCAGCUGCGGUUACUGGUGGCGCGGUCGUGAUUCCGGCUUCUGGAAGGGAAGGAGGCUGGGUGAGACGUUUUGGUGGACAAUGAAAUGCUGAUGGCAGUUGCUAUCGUUGCUACUGGGGGGGCGCAGGAACACAAAAACUAUUAGUUAAAAAAUAAGCACCAUUGAAUAGAGAGCUCAUCGAGUUAUAAAUAUAGUUUUUAAAUUUAAUUUGGAGAUUAAUCGACACAAUAAUCAGCCUAGCAUACAAAAAUUUAAAAAUAAUGUACGCGAGGGUUUGAAAGUGUGAUAGCGGUUGCUUUUUAAAUAGUUUUUCGUGCUGAAAAACAUGCCAAUAAUAUUUUUUUAUUUUUUAAAAAUUAUUUUUGAUAUUAACGCAUCAAAACGAUUCAAAAAGUACAAACCGUAUUCAAUUUUAAUAAAAAAAAAUUAAAACUUUUUAAAAACAGGUUAGACCGUACUGCCAAACGGUAAUAAAAGACCUUCACGGGUUAAAAGAGUGGGAUAUAUGAAAAUUGCAAAUCACAAGAGAAGAAAGCGAGAACCUCCUAAGAUUUCUGGAAAAAAAUUCCGAGGAAAGACGUAUCGGACAGUGUCUAGAGCAAUCAAAUAAAAUAUGUACAUCAAGAUCAAUCCCUUAAUUAAUGAAUAUAAAUAUGAAAAAAACAAGGAAUUGAAAACAAAAUCAAACUUGAUAUAUUAUUAGAGUUAGAAAGGUUAUUAGAAUUCUGCAGAUGUGUAGCAAGUUGAUUCCAACUUUCCACAGUCUGAGACUUCAAAAACUUCCCUACGAGCACCUUAAAAUUAGUUGCUUCUAGUUAGCUUUUCCAAUGAAAUACAGAAGAAAUUUGGCAAGAACACCUUUACAAGCCAUGAAAUUGUAUCUUAUGAGCUUCCCAAUUACAUCAGUAGUAGUGUGAGAAUCAAGUGUGCAUUGAUAUUUAUGUAUUUUUCUUUCAGUUUUUUGAUAAUUACCGAAUUAAGAAAGGGUUUGUUACAUCUUUUACUAAUUUAUAAUAAUAUUUAAAUUAUUAAACUGGAGAUGUGUGGGGGCUCCAAAAACUUUUUGGCAGCAUGCGCUGCCAAAAUACAUGACCAUAUAGUAGCUUUCAAGGCGGCGAUGGAUUUAAUUGGUGCCUACCUGACCAGAUGCCACGUGUUUCUUCUCCACCUCUGAUUCACUGUAAACGGUGUUGCUUUUUUUCCCCCCUCUCUCUCUCAUCUAAGCUGGUAAAAUAACCCAAUCACAAAAUCCUAUAACAGAGAUGUAGCAAUCAAUCCCAUAAUUUAAACCGUUAAUUAAACUUCAAGAAUAAAAUCAAGUCAUGAUAGCAACACUCGCAUGGAAACAAUGGUUACAAAUCUGACUAUUUACAACUUCUAUGAAACCAACAUUCAAUCAUAUUAUUAGAAACUGAUUAUUUUGAAGCGCGGAUUUGUAAUCUGACUGAACUAGCAAUUAAUCCUGCAUUUCAAGAAUAAAAUCAAGUCAUGACAACAAUUCUCACAUGGAAAAAAUGUUUAGAAAUCUGACUAUUUACAACUUGCAUGCAGCAAAUAUUCAAUUAUAUUUUUAGAAACUGAUUUUUUAAGGCACUAAUUUGAAAUCGAACUAUCCCUUGAUAGGAUAAGUCCAAACUACAGCAAUGAGCAAAAUCAUUAAGGCACGAGACUAAAAUAAUAGGCAACCUCAAGGCAGGAUGCAUUCCAACAUAAAAUUACUACGGAAACAAAGGAUAAAUGAGAAAUUAGUGCUCAAUAGAAACAAAAUCUAUUCUCGAAGGUCAGAAACAUGUUGAAACAAGAAGGAAAAGGAAAGAGAAAAGCUAAGAUGCAGGGAGCGGGAGCGGGAUUGGCCUCACAGCACUUUGAAUUCGCCUAAAUGCUGUCCUAACUCGUUCCUUGAGACCUUCAUUCUCACUCUCAACAUCCCCACUCUGUUUGUCAAGCUCUGCCACAUUCUCAUCGACGCGUAUGACCAGCUUCCCGUUCUCUCCAAGUUUCACAUCUCCAAAAAGUGAAACAAGGAGGGCAUAAAUCACUUUCUCUGCUUUUUUCUCAUUUUCUUCCUCAGAUUUUAUGUCCUCUGACUCGACAAUUACCUUAGGAACCUCCCGGCUGAUGUUCAAAACCAAAGCUACAAUUGAAUCAGACACCAUAUCACUUAUGGGGUCAGCAGUCCAAUGAAGUGAAAUAUGUCUGUCAGAUUCUUGUUUCACUGUUACCAGCUCAUGCACUUGCAAUGUUGGAGACCCGGACUCCUCGUCAGUUCCAGACUCCACACUCUCAUAAAUCUGCUCAAGCCUGUGCUUUAUCACACCGAAUGCACCAGAAAAAGGAAUGGUAAUCCUCUGAGUAACAUUUCCAGUUGAUAGUUGUGAGAAGACAUGGAGAUCUCCAGGUGCCAUGAUUUGAUAAGUGAAGCCCUUCUUCACCAGUAUACCACUGACAGUUUCACCAACAUCCGGGGUCCUUUCAGCCAGCUUUCCAAUGGUUUUUGCCAUUUUUUCAGAGUUGAAAUACAUCUCAACAGACUGGCAAUUCUUUGGGGUGAUUAUCUUGGUGUUGCCAUCAGCAAACUCUGUAAUAAGUUUCUGUUUGAGCCUUCCCAUUUCAUUGGCUUCUCCAUGAACAAGAAUGAUGUUAGGAGGCAUGAGCUCUUUCAAAAAUGUACUUGUCUGAGCAUAAUCUGCAUGAGCAGAGAAUGAGAUGUAAUGGACCUGCAUGUUGAGUGGUGCAGUCAGUCCAUUCAUGAGCUGUACCUCCUUCGGUUCAUUAAUGAUUGUCUUAGCUAGGGUCCCUUCAACAACAUAUCCAGGUAAAACACAGGCAUUUUUCUUAUCAGAGCACCACAUAUCAAACAACUGCCUUGACAACCCGCUCUGCAGUCCUCCAGGGCUUGCCAUAACCACAGAUGGCCCUACAUCAGUAAAAUCUUCAAUGCUAUUUAACGGUGAUAUAUGCUUGAAUUUGAAGGGGUUUGAAUUCGCAAACUGAUUGCGGAUUCUUUCAUUCAUAGAAAGGAUGUAUGUCUGGUAAACAGUCAUACAUUUUUUUGCAAGGGGAGAAGCAUAAUAUAUUGGAAUGUUAUGAAGCUCAGGAUGGUUUGCCCAAUACUCAUCAAGGAUCAAAAGGAGUUCUUGAGCUCGGCCGAGGGCAAAUGCUGGAAUUAGGACACGACCACCUAGAGAGAUGGUGGAGUGGAUAACAUCAGUGAAGCGCUUCUCCCGAAGGUGUCGAGGUUGAUGGAGUUGGACACCAUAGGUAGAUUCAAUUAUGCAUAUGUCUGGAGAGAAUUGUGGCAUCUCAGCAGCACGAAGAUGCCGAUCUUCUUCACGCGAAUAGUCUCCAGUAUACAGCACUCGAACACCAGCGAUAUCUACCAUGAACAUGGCAGCCCCAAGGACAUGGCC
rnacentral:lncRNA from 1 species